rnacentral:lncRNA from 1 species
CUCUCCUUACCUCGGGCUGAGGCGGCUCGUGGAGGUGGCUCCGCGGCGGCGGGCGGGAGACAGCGGGAGUGGCACUGGAAGCUCGGGAGCGAGGGGAAGUUGGCUAGGAAGCUUGGUGGUGUAGUGGAGAGCAGAGCGGAGGCACUUUUAUAGGCUAGAGGCAAAGGGGAGGGGGCUGCCGACAGACGGCGCACAGGAAUGGGUGGAGUUAAUGGCGGCCGGAAUGUGAAGUGUCCCCACAUAAGUAGAGACUAAAUGUGAUCCAAUUAUCAGUCCCAGGAGGCUGAUAACACAUUUAUUCAACAGAUAGUUCAGUAACCGUACAACUCCCAAAGGAGCGGGCGGGCAAGCCACACCCAAAGCAAGACUAAAGCGAUAACAAUACAAAUCCAAGUUGCAGUCCAGUCGGACUCCGGGCUGCAAUCGGAACUAAGCGUCAGCGGAAGCAUCCUGCAAAAGGGCCAACACCGCAGGCAGCGUUGGGUGCAGACGCAACCUCCUACUCGAAGUCCUCGGCGACGAAGUCCGGAUCCUCCUCUGAAGUAACAACACAAGGGUGAGUACAAAAGUACUCAGCAAGUCCAACCCCAU